rnacentral:rRNA from 1 species
CGAGCACGCGCGUGUGGCAUAUCAAUAAGCGGAGGAAAAGAAACUAACAAGGAUUCCCUUAGUAACGGCGAGUGAAGCGGGAAGAGCUCAAAUUUGAAAUCUUCAAGGUUCUACCUUGACGAAUUGUAGUUUAUAGAAGUGUUUUCUGUUAGUGGAGUGGCAAAAGUUCUUUGGAAUAGGACAUCAUAGAGGGUGAGAAUCCCGUAUUUGGUCAUUCCUUCCUAGCUUUGUGAUACACUUUCAACGAGUCGGAUUGUUUGGGAAUGCAGUCCAAAAUGGGUGGUAAAUUUCAUCUAAAGCUAAAUAUUGGCGAGAGACCGAUAGCGAACAAGUACCGUGAGGGAAAGAUGAAAAGAACUUUGAAAAGAGAGUUAAACAGUACGUGAAAUUGUCAAAAGGGAAGCGUUUGACACCAGUGUUGUUAGUUGAAAAUCAAUUCAAUAAUUUUUGAUUUUAAGUAGUAUUGACUUCAUCAGCUUGCUGCUUUCUUUUCAGGAGUUAUUGAAUGCACUUUUCAGUUAACAAGUCAACAUCAAUUUCUUUUGUUGUAAAAGGGUAUGAGGAAGGUGGCUUUCUUUUCGGAGAAAGUGUUUAUAGCCUUGUGCCUCUGCAAUCGGAGAGAUUGAGGUCUGCAGCGUAGAUCCUUCGGGGUUAGAUACGUUUGUGCUAAGUUACAGCUUUUCAUAGACAACUUGUUGACUAUGUUUAGUCUUGUAGCUUACUCGCUGACGCUAUUUUACCUACGCUUAGGAUGUUGAACUCUAUCACACACAG